UACAUUUUAAUAUAUGAUGUAUAUAAGUUUUUGAUACUUAAUGAAAUAGUUUAAUUCUAUUAAAUGUAA
rnacentral:tRNA from 1 species